UCGAGAAUCAUUCACAAUGGGGGCAACCCUGAUGGUGCAACGCCGCGUGGAGGAAGAAGGUCUUCGGAUUGUAAACUCCUGUCAUCUAGGAGCAAGGCAUGGUGGUGAAUAGCCAACAUGAUUGAUAGUACUAGAAGAGGAAGGGACGGCUAACUUCGUGCCAGCAGCCGCGGUAAUACGAAGGUCCCGAGCGUUAUUCGGAAUCACUGGGCGUAAAGGGAGCGUAGGCGGCGUGGAAAGUCAGAUGUGAAAUCCCAGAGCUUAACUCUGGAACUGCAUCCGAUACUACCAUGCUAGAGUAUUGGAGGGGUAACUGGAAUUCUCGGUGUAGCAGUGAAAUGCGUAGAUAUCGAGAGGAACACUCGUGGCGAAAGCGAGUUACUGGACAAUUACUGACGCUGAGGCUCGAAGGCUAGGGGAGCAAAAGGG
rnacentral:rRNA from 1 species